AAAAGACACUGCAACAGCCAGCGGCGCCGCAGUAGCAGCUUCCGAGCUGCAGCCUCCUGCCAGAGUUUCAGGUCGAAUUCCUUGAGGAGGAACGCUCCUCUGCCCUUAGUCCCACUCCCGUGGGCUUCACCCACUUCUUUCCUCAGGACAUCGGGAGGAACCGGGUUACUUUGCCACUUUUGCAGAGGGUUAAGUGGCAGAGAAGAAGAUUCCCACCGAAGUAUCCCGAAGCCCAGGACUCCUGGCCGGAUCUCUCCACCCUCCCGCCCACGUAGGCGCCUGUGUGUCUGGCAAAGGUCCCAAUUCUCAAGGUGCCUGAGCUCCGAUGGGAUGUGGAGGAACGAGGCGGCUAGAGCAGCGACGGGACUAGAGCUGGGGAUGGUUAGAGGACAGAUGGGACGGGACUGGGGAGAGAGGCGAAGACUGCACAGAGGCACUCUCCCGCCCCUAGUUUUCAGACAGUAACUCCAAAACCCGCAGAUGGGAGGCAAGGCCUUUUCUCCCUAUGUUCUCCCUUCUCUUCCCCGAUCCCCGCCUGGACACCUGGUGAAAAAGCAAGGUGCAGGUAUACCUGGAGCGAACACCAUGAUUUCCUCCAGACGCUACGCCCCUAGGUGAGGAGAAUAGACAGGCAGACGGAGGGAUGGGAGAAAGGCCAGGACUUGGAGGGGUCAGAUGGGCGCGAUGGGCGUGCAGGGGCCGGGACGUUCAGCACCUCGGACAGCUCCCCGCCGCGCGAUCCCGGGAAGCCAGCUCCAGCGGCUGCGGCGCGUUCACCUCCACAAUGCACUGCUCUGCCGGCGGCUACCGCGGCGGCGGGAGGAGGAGACCGAAUCCUGCUCAGUUCAUCCCUCAUUCCUGUGCCAGCUCAGCGUACACUGCUGCUUGGGGAGCAAAACACUUCUAUCGCUUCCACGGGAGAAGGAAGGACGGAAGAGGAAGAGAGAAAAAGCUUUGGGCCACUUGA
rnacentral:lncRNA from 1 species